CUGUCAUCUCCAGAAACUUAAUUUAUCACCCGAUCCAAAACCCUGGUUGAUAAUCAACAACCUCAACCUCAUCGGCUCACUUCUUCACUAGUCCAUCCAUGCCCUCUUCCGAAAAUAUGACUCUAUCACACAACUUAAAUUCAGGAAGACAACAACAAUCAAACCUUGAGGAGAACUACAUCUGACGCCGGUGUCACGACAUUAAUGCUAGGAUGUCGCGACACUAAGCCUCCACUACCUCAGGGGUGCAAGACUUCAACAAGAAACCAACUUGAAGCAAAUUGUCGAGGUGUCUUGACACUAAACCCAAAGUUGUGACACCAAGCCUCCAAGGUCGCAAUACUACUGUUGAUUGUUGAAGUAAAAAGUCAUGGUCACUCCCAAGGAUGUCGUGACAUAGAGAACCCUAAAGCCAAGAGUGUGUCAUUGUCGAAGGUGUCGCGACACUGUUGCUUGACGGGGUGAAAAAUACUACAAAUGUAGUUUUAUAUCCAACACAAACACAAGUCAACCCAUACACUCCAAGGGCAUUUUUGUCAAGUUUAGGGUUGAAUUUUGGUUGUACAAAAUAUGCUUUUGUGUCAAACCAAGAGGAGAGACCUUUUUAUCAUCUUUUAAGCUUAGUAGUUAUACUCUUCUCCAUUUUUAGGUUUUAGUUCUUUACUUUUCUCAGCUAAUGAGUGGUUGUAGCUGAUAGUUUUCUUAGUUUUUACUGUAGUUUUUCCUUUCUUUGCACUUAGAACAAAAACUUUACUUUGUAUUUUGAUUUCUCUUUACAUCCUUUACUAUAUUUCCGCUUUUUUAACUCUCAAAAUUGUAAAAAUUUAAACUUUAGUUGUGUUUUCUUCUUCA